rnacentral:rRNA from 1 species
UACGAAGGGGGCUAGCGUUGUUCGGAAUCACUGGGCGUAAAGCGCACGUAGGCGGGUCGUUAAGUCGGAGGUGAAAUCCCAGGGCUCAACCCUGGAACUGCCUUCGAUACUGGCGACCUCGAGUAUGGGAGAGGAUGGUGGAACUCCGAGUGUAAAGGUGAAAUUUGUAGAUAUUCGGAAGAACACCAGUGGCGAAGGCGGCCAUCUGGACCAUUACUGACGCUGAGGUGCGAAAGCGUGGGGAGCAAACAGG